UGAAUAUUAAAAGAACGUCUACUUUUUCAUGGUUCCAAAAGGAAAUUUUUAUUAAGCCAUCGUAAAAAACCAUUUCUAUGCAUGUAAAGUAUCACUUAAUUAAAUUCGAAAAAAUAUGUGGGAUAAAAUCACUUUGGAAUAUAUCAUGGUCUCCCGGUGUUCCUAAAGACUCAUAAAUUGAAAAAAAAAUGGCGGACAUUAUAUCCAUUGGAAUACUAUAAAAAGACAUAAAACGUAUUGUCAAUAUUUCUCGAAGUUUUACCAGGGGAUUCAAUAUCCGUACCGUGAACCGUAGUAAAGAUAGGCUACGUACAAACUACUGUCGCGUCGAGUGCGAUAAAACCACAGCCGUCAUACCGAAAGUUAUGGAUUUGAACCAGCGGCGAAGUUCUACUAACUCGACAUCGUGUAAAUUAAUCGCGGGAAACUUCGAGCGGCUGCACUGAAAAGUUACCAUACAGAAUUUAAAAUAAAUGUUGAUUCAUUUUUCCCUCGUUCCUUGUUAG
rnacentral:misc_RNA from 1 species